rnacentral:rRNA from 1 species
GACGAACGCUGGCGGCGUGCUUAACACAUGCAAGUCGAGCGGUAAGGCCCUUUCGGGGGUACACGAGCGGCGAACGGGGUGAGUAACACGUGGGUGACCUGCCCUCAGCUCUGGGAUAAGCCUGGGAAACCGGGUCUAAUACUGGAUAUGACUCCAUGACGCAUGUUGUGGGGUGGAAAGCCUUGUGCGGCUGAGGAUGGGCCCGCGGCCUAUCAGCUUGUUGGUGGGGUGANGGCCUACCAAGGCGACGACGGGUAGCCGGCCUGAGAGGGCGACCGGCCACACUGGGACUGAGACACGGCCCAGACUCCUACGGGAGGCAGCAGUGGGGAAUCUUGCGCAAUGGGCGAAAGCCUGACGCAGCGACGCCGCGUGAGGGAUGACGGCCUGG